UACGAAGGUGGCAAGCGUUGUUCGGAUUUACUGGGCGUAAAGGGAGCGUAGGUGGUUAGGUAAGCCCUCCGGGAAAUCUUCAGGCUUAACCUGAAAAGGUCGGGGGGGACUGCCUAGCUAGAGGGCGGGAGAGGAGCGCGGAAUUCCAGGUGUAGCGGUGAAAUGCGUAGAUAUCUGGAGGAACACCGGUGGCGAAGGCGGCAUCCUGGACCAACACUGACACUGAUGAGCGAAAGCCAGGGGAGCAAACGGG
rnacentral:rRNA from 1 species